rnacentral:lncRNA from 1 species
UUUUUGAGAGAUCCGUCCAUCAGAUUUGCAAACGUACUGAGCCAGCGCGUUAGCACGACCAGGGCAUCGACCUCACGAUUUUGUUUCGCCCUAUAUGAUCGCCGAUUUGCGACGAAACCCAUCCACUCUCCAAUUUUCCAAAAACCACACCUAUAUAUUUGUGUAAAUCCAAUAAACCUCAAAUUCAAAUUCGCCCUACUACUG